rnacentral:rRNA from 1 species
AGGACGAACGCUGGCGGCGUGCUUAACACAUGCAAGUCGAGCGGAAAGGCCCUUCGGGGUACUCGAGCGGCGAACGGGUGAGUAACACGUGAGCAAUCUGCCCUUAGCUUCGGGGAUAGCUCCGGGAAACCGGAAUUAAUACCGGAUAUGACUAUGGCUGACAUCAGCCACGGUGGAAAGUUUUUCGGCUAGGGAUGAGCUCGCGGCCUAUCAGCUAGUUGGUGGGGUAACGGCCUACCAAGGCGACGACGGGUA